ACAUUCUAAGAACUAUCUAGUAUGUUUUUUUUAACAAAGUACACAGGUGAUGUGAUAUUCUAAACAUAUAAUACCUGUAGCAUACCAUAUAUUUCUUAGUUUCUUCAAGGCAAUGUUAUAUUCUAAGGUUCUAAGCAUCAAGUGCAAAUAAUUUUUAUAACAUUAAUGAACAAUAUACAUGGGGGAUGUGACAUUCAAAAUAUUUGUUUCUUAUAGUGUGUAAUAUAUUUCCUAAUUUUAUUAAGGAAAUGUUAUAUUAUAAGUUUUUAAACUAAAAGUACAACUAAUUAGUAUGAUAUUUAUAAACAAAGUACAUGGGGGAUGUGAUAUUGUAAACAUACAGUGAUAGUUAGUGAUAUAUUUCUUAAUUAAUUUGCUGGAUGUGAUAUUUUAAGGUUCAUAGCAGAAAAUACAACUAAUUUUUAUGACAUAUAUAAACAAUAUACAUGGGGGUUGUGAUAUUUUAAGUAAUAUAAAACUGUUAGUUGACAAUAGAUUUCUUAUUUAUAUCUAAGAUUCAAAGCAGCAAAUAAGACUAACUAUGAAAUUUUUUAACAAUAUACAUUGGAAUUGUGAUAUUUUAUAUAUACAACAUAUAUAAUACUGGUAGUACAUAGGGGGUAUGACAUUCUAAACAUAUUGGUAGUUUGUGGUAUAAUUAUUAGUUACACUAAGAGAGUGUAAUAUUCUAAGCAGCAAAUUUGACUAACUAUGACUUAUAAACAAUAUACAUAGGGGAUGUGUGUCUAAACAAAAUACUAUAAUAUGCGUUAUAUUUCUUAAUUUUAUUACGAGAGGAGAUUUAUUAGGAUAGUAUUCUAAGAUGCUACUCUAAGAGAUUUAUUAUAAUAAUAUUCUUUUUUUAGGUUUCUUCUUGUUGUCCCUGGCCACUAGCAUUAUGUUUUGUUGCAUGUUAUCAGACUUGUAUGGUCACUACUUUUGAAGCCUUUCUGACUGAACAAUACCCAGCUGUUUGUCAUCAAUGCCAUCUAUAUCAUGUGAUGUAACACUGACUGCUAUCACUUUUAAAAAAAAACAGUUAGUUAAAGUCUUCUUCAAUCUGUUUCACUCAUUUAGUACGAAUCAGCAGUGAACUUAUACAGAAAUUAUCAAACAAGUUGGAAGACU